rnacentral:rRNA from 1 species
AACGAACGCUGGCGGCGUGCCUAACACAUGCAAGUCGUACGAGAAACACGUCCUCGGGCGUGGAGUAAAGUGGCGCACGGGUGAGUAACACGUGGGUAACCUGCCCAGUGGACCGGGAUAACUGGCCGAAAGGCCCGCUAAUACCGGAUAAGACCACAAGAGCUCCGGCUCCUGGGGUCAAAGUCGGCCUCUCGACGAAGCCGGCACCACAGGAUGGGCCCGCGGACCAUUAGCUAGUUGGUAGGGUAACGGCCUACCAAGGCUGAGAUGGUUAGCUGGUCUGAGAGGAUGGCCAGCCACACUGGAACUGAGAUACGGUCCAGACUCCUACGGGAGGCUG